rnacentral:rRNA from 1 species
CUACGGGUCGCACCAGUGAGGAAUAUUACACAAUGGGGGGAACCCUGAUGCAGCAACGCCGCGUGGAGGAUGACGCAUUUCGGUGUGUAAACUCCUUUUAUAUGUCAAGAAAAUGACGGUAGCAUAUGAAUAAGCGCCGGCUAACUCCGUGCCAGCAGCCGCGGUAAUACGGAGGGCGCAAGCGUUACUCGGAAUCACUGGGCGUAAAGGACGCGUAGGCGGGUUGAAAAGUCAGGUGUGAAAGCCUACAGCUUAACUGUAGAACUGCACUUGAAACUCUCAAUCUAGAGUAUGGGAGGGGCAGAUGGAAUUAGUGGUGUAGGGGUAAAAUCCGUAGAUAUCACUAGGAAUACCUAAAGCGAAGGCGAUCUGCUGGAACAUUACUGACGCUAAGGCGUGAAAGCGUGGGGAGCAAACAGGAUUAGAUACCCUCGUAGUC